rnacentral:rRNA from 1 species
CACGUAGGCGGAUUGGUAAGUCAGAUGUGAAAUCCCGGAGCUCAACUCCGGAACUGCAUUUGAUACUGCCAGUCUUGAGUGAGGUAGAGGGGGGUGGAAUUCCCGGUGUAGAGGUGAAAUUCGUAGAUAUCGGGAGGAACACCAGAGGCGAAGGCGACCCCCUCGGGCCUCUACUGACGCUGAGGUGCGAAAGCGUGGGGAGCAAACA